UCAGGUACCAUCUAGGUGCUAUCCAGGUAUUAUCAGGUACUAUCCAGGUGCUAUCCAGGUAUUAUCAGGUACUAUCCAGGUGCUAUCCAAGUAUUAUCAGGCACUAGCAGGUAUUAUCAGGUACUGUCAAGG